GCGAGGAGGUUGGAAGCUCAGUUAGACGACCAAAUGAUUGCAUACCGUAAAUUGGUUUCUAUGAAAUCGGAUGGUUCAGAGAAUGAUAUCGAGACUGAUAUAGAAAGAUCACUAAAGCAACUUCAGCAAGUUAAUUCUCAAAUGCAAACCUGGGUAUCAUCAGGAGGCUCGGAAGUUCUAUCUCAUACAUUGACCCGUCAUAUGGAGAUUUUGCAAGACCUGACGCAGGAAUUCUAUCGGCUUCGAUCUAGUCUCAGAGUGAAGCAACAGCAUGCUUCCCUCCUUGACUUGAGAGACUUUGACAGAGCAAAGUUCGACGUGGAAGAGUCUGGAGACUCAGAACAAGCUCUUCUUAGAGAACAAGCUGCAAUCAGCAGGAAUUCCGGACAGGUGGAUACUGUGAUAUCACAGGCUCAAGCAACACUGGGCGCUCUCAUGUCUCAACGUUCAACUUUUGGUGGCAUUACUACCAAAAUAAGCAACGUUAGCAGCCGGAUCCCCACGAUUAAUCACAUCCUCGCGUCGAUCAGAAGAAAGAAAUCGAUGGACACGAUAAUUCUCUCGCUCGUGGCGUCCGUCUGCGCGUUUCUUAUGUUCAUCUACUGGUUGUCAAAGUAG
rnacentral:rRNA from 1 species